rnacentral:tRNA from 1 species
UAAGCUUUAUUUUAAAUAAAAAUGUUUGGUUGUUACCCAAGAGAUGUAAAUUUUUACAAGCUUAAC